CCUGACUGCUAUCGGAUUGAUACUAAGCCAUGCGAGUCUUUGCAGUAAUGCAAGGCAUACGGCUCAGUAACACGUAGUCAACUUACCCUAUGGACGAGGAUAAUCUCGGGAAACUGAGCAUAAUACUCGAUAGAUCAUAAUGCCUGGAAUGGUUUAUGGUUGAAAUGAUUCGUCGCCAUAGGAUGGGACUGCGGCCUAUCAGCUUGUUGGUGAGGUAAUGGCCCACCAAGGCGAUUACAGGUACGGGCUCUGAGAGGAGAAGCCCGGAGAUGGGUACUGAGACAAGGACCCAGGCCCUAUGGGGCGCAGCAGGCGAGAAAACUUUGCAAUGUGCGAAAGCACGACAAGGUUAAUCCGAGUGAUUUCUGCUAAAGAAAUCUUUUGCAAGUCAUAAAACCACUAGUGAAUAAGGGGUGGGCAAGUUCUGGUGUCAGCCGCCGCGGUAAAACCAGCACCUCAAGUGGUCAGGAGGAUUAUUGGGCCUAAAGCAUCCGUAGCCGGCUCUGUAAGUUUUCGGUUAAAUCCAUGUGCUCAACGCAUGGGCUGCCGAAAAUACUGCAUAGCUAGGGAGUGGGAGAGGUAGACGGUACUCGGUAGGAAGGGGUAAAAUCCUUUGAUCUAUCGAUGACCACCUGUGGCGAAGGCGGUCUACCAGAACACGUUCGACGGUGAGGGAUGAAAGCUGGGGGAACAAACCGGAUUAGAUACCCGGGUAGUCCCAGCUGUAAACGAUGCAGACUCGAUGAUGCAUUGGCAUAUAGCCAGUGCAGUGUCGCAGGGAAGCCGUUAAGUCUGCCGCCUGGGAAGUACGUACGCAAGUAUGAAACUUAAAGGAAUUGGCGGGGGAGCACCACCAAGGGGUGAAGCCUGCGGUUC
rnacentral:rRNA from 1 species